AGAAUUAGAACUAACUGGAAAGUUAGGCCAUAGACGGUGAUAGCCCGGUAUAAGUAAUGAAUGUAAAGGAUAGUGGUAUCCUGAGUAGGGCGGGGCACGUGAAACCCUGUCUGAAUCCGGCGGGACCAUCCGCCAAGGCUAAAUACUCCUGAGAGACCGAUAGUGAACCAGUACCGUGAGGGAAAGGUGAAAAGAACCGUGAAUAACGGAGUGAAAUAGAUCCUGAAACCAUACGCCUACAAGCGGUCGGAGCCCUUUAGUGGGGUGACGGCGUGCCUUUUGCAUAAUGAGCCUACGAGUUACCGUUGCUGGCAAGGAUAAGCACUUUUGGUGUGGAUCCGUAGCGAAAGCGAGUCUGAAUAGGGCGUGCAGUCAGAGGAGGUAGACGCGAAACCUUGUGAUCUACCCAUGGACAGGUUGAAGGUGCCGUAACAGGUACUGGAGGACCGAACCGAUAAACGUUGAAAAGUUUCCGGAUGAUUUGUGGGUAGGGGUGAAAGGCUAAUCAAACUGGGAAAUAGCUCGUACUCCCCGAAAUGCAUUUAGGUGCAGCGCUGGCUUAGUUUAUUAGAGGUAGAGCUACUGAUUGGAUGCGGGGGCUUCACCGCCUACCAAUUCCUGACAAACUCCGAAUGCUAAUAAAUGAUUACCAGUAGUGAGGGCAUGGGUGCUAAGGUCCAUGUCCGAGAGGGAAAGAACCCAGACCAUCAGCUAAGGUCCCCAAAUCUAUACUAAGUUGAAAAAACGAGGUUUGUCUGCCCAGACAGCUAGGAUGUUGGCUUGGAAGCAGCCAUUCAUUUAAAGAGUGCGUAACAGCUCACUAGUCGAGCGGACGAGCAUGGAUAAUAAUCGGGCAUAAGUAUAGUACCGAAGCUAUGGAUUUACAAUUUAUUGUAAGUGGUAGGGGAGCAUUC
rnacentral:rRNA from 1 species